UACAGAGGGUGCAAGCGUUGUUCGGAAUUAUUGGGCGUAAAGGGAGUGUAGGCUGCUUGUUAAGUCUUCUGUGAAAUCUACGGGCUCAGCCUGUAAAGUGCAGAGGAAACUGGCGAGCUUGAGUGUCGGAGAGGAUAGGGGAAUACCCGGUGUAGAGGUGAAAUUCGUAGAGAUCGGGUGGAACACCAGUGGCGAAGGCGGCUCACUGGCUCGACACUGACGCUGAGGUGCGAAAGCGUGGGGAGCAAACAGG
rnacentral:rRNA from 1 species